AUAAUAGCCACAAGCCGAAUAUACUCACAAACCAUACACUUGAUCAACAUUUACGCCCCCAACGCCCCAUCCUCACAAUUCUGGAACCAGAUGGCAGACACAGUUAUAUCCCUGCCUGGUGGUGUGGUGGUAUUGGGAGGCGACCUUAACGCCACCCCCUCCCCAGCAAUCGACAGAAGCACGCGCCCGGGUAUGGCCAGAUCCCACGGCAUGGG